GGUGACCACUAUCAGGGUUCGGCUAAGCCAUGCGAGUCAAAGGGUGUAGCAAUACAUCCUUGGCGAACUGCUCAGUAACACGUAGUCAACCUGCUCUAAAGCGGGGGAUAACCGUGGGAAACUGCGAAUAAUACCCCAUAGGCGAUAAUGGCUGGAAGGCCUCUUCGCUGAAAGCUUCGGCACUUUAGAAUGGGACUGCGGCGGAUUAGCUUGUUGUUGAGAUAAGAGCUCAACAAGGCGAUAAUCCGUACGGGUCGUGAGAGCGAUAGCCCGGAGAUGGUUUCUGAGACAUGAAACCAGGCCCUACGGGGCGCAGCAGGCGCGAAAACUUCGCAAUGGGCGAAAGCCUGACGAGGGAACCCUGAGUGACGUUACUUUUAGUGACGUCUUUUCUAGAAUGUAAAUAGUUCGAGGAAUAAGUGGUGGGUAAGACGGUUGCCAGCCGCCGCGGUAAUUUGCAGAAUCGAUAGAUUUUGAAAAUUUCGGUUCUGUGAACCGUAAAUAACCGCGCCACAAGUGGUCAUCACGAUUAUUGGGCCUAAAGCGCCCGUAGCCGGGUCGGUAUGUCUCUGGUGAAAUCUUGCAGCAAACUGUAAGGCUUGCUGGAUAUACUACUGAUCUUGGAACCGGGAGAGGUAAGAGGUACGUUAUGGGUAGGGGUAAAAUCCGUUAAUCCAUAUCGGACCACCUGUGGCGAAGGCGUCUUACUGGAACGGGCUUCGACGGUGAGGGGCGAAAGCUAGGGGAGCAACCGGGAUUAGAUACCCCGUUAGUCCUAGCUGUUAACGAUGCCCGCUUGGUGUUGCACGUCUUUCGUGGACAUGCAGUGCCGUAGCGAAGGUGUUAAGCGGGCCGCCUGGGGAGUACGGCCGCAAGGCUGAAACUUAAGGGAAUUGGCGGGGGAGCACUACCAGGGGUGGAGGCUGCGGUUC
rnacentral:rRNA from 1 species